rnacentral:rRNA from 1 species
CCUACGGGGGGCAGCAGUGAGGAAUAUUGGUCAAUGGGCGGGAGCCUGAACCAGCCAAGUCGCGUGAGGGACGACGGUCCUAUGGAUUGUAAACCUCUUUUGUCGGGGAACAAAGGCGCCCACGGGUGGGCGGAUGAGUGUACCCGAAGAAAAAGCAUCGGCUAACUCCGUGCCAGCAGCCGCGGUAAUACGGAGGAGGCGAGCGUUAUCCGGAUUUACUGGGUGUAAAGGGCGUGUAGCCGGGUUGACAAGUCAGAUGUGAAAUCCUGCGGCUUAACCGCAGAACUGCAUUUGAAACUGUUGCUCUUGAGUCCUGGAGAGCCAGCCGGAAUUCCUAUUGUAGCGGU